UACGGAGGGUGCAAGCGUUAUCCGGAUUUACUGGGUUUAAAGGGUGCGUAGGUGGGUAGGUAAGUCAGUAGUGAAAUCUUCGAGCUUAACUCGGAAACUGCCAUUGAUACUAUUUAUCUUGAAUACUCUGGAGGUAAGCGGAAUAUGUCAUGUAGCGGUGAAAUGCUUAGAUAUGACAUAGAACACCAAUUGCGAAGGCAGCUUACUACAUAGUUAUUGACACUGAGGCACGAAAGCGUGGGGAGCAAACAGG
rnacentral:rRNA from 1 species